rnacentral:rRNA from 1 species
UCCGUAGGUGAACCUGCGGAAGGAUCAUUAUUGAAAUAAACCUGAUGGGUUGUUGCUGGUUCUCUAGGGAGCAUGUGCACGCUUUGUCAUCUUUAUAUCUCCACCUGUGCACCUUUUGUAGACCUUUCAGGUCUAUGUUGCUUCAUUUUGCCCCAAUGUAUGUUAAUAGAAUGUUGUGCCUAUAUAAUAUAUACAACUUUCAGCAACGGAUCUCUUGGCUCUCGCAUCGAUGAAGAACGCAGCGAAAUGCGAUAAGUAAUGUGAAUUGCAGAAUUCAGUGAAUCAUCGAAUCUUUGAACGCACCUUGCGCUCCUUGGUAUUCCGAGGAGCAUGCCUGUUUGAGUGUCAUUAAUAUAUAUAUCAACCUUCUCUUGUUGAGUGGUUUGGAUGUGGGGGUUUGCUGGCCUCUUAGGGGGGUUCAGCUCUCCUGAAAUGCAUUAGCAGAACAACCUGUUCAUUAGUGUGAUAACUAUCUACGCUAUUGAAUGUGAAGGGCAGUUCAGCUUUCUAACAGUCCUGGGACAAUUCACCAUUAAUGUGACCUCAAAUCAGGUAGGACUACCCGCUGAACUUAAGCAUAUCAAUAAGCGGAGGA